CCCGCUUGAAAAAAACUGCUCUCCUCGUUCUUUUAAAACCAGGCUUCGCUUUAAUCUUGUCCACUCCGCAUGUGUGCAAGUGAAGAAAAACUCAAUCGUAAAGACAAAAAAAAAAAGAGGUGAAAAAUCGAAGGAGAAAAAAAAUCUUCUUCUUCUGAGUCAAGAUGAUGAAACAUAAAAAAAAGAUUUUUCUCUGUUGUUCAAGCUUUUGGUAAAAAUCCUCUUCUUUAGUUUUUUUACGCGCUCUAUCGUCCGGCAAA